CUCUACCUCGUUGAGGACCUGAUGCAUCUUCUCAAGCUCUUCAUCAUAUAUUUACCUGCUGUUAUUGGAAGACCAUCACCUUGAGCAGACAGUGCCCUUUAAAUUCCAGGUGUAAUGAGCAGAGCACCUGAUGGCUAAUGAUAAUCCAGAUGGCUUGGAAUUGUAACUCCAUAUGCUGCACCAUUUAAUGCGGAAACAGUGCUGAAGUUAACUCUGUGUGGGUUGAUGAAACAAACUUCCUUGUUUAUUUUGGAAGUUUAUGUUGGCAAACAAACUGAAAGAGAAACCCAUGGAUAUGGUGACAGUAGGUUAAUGGGAAGGCAUGCAUGCUGGUAUUUUCUCUAAAUCAUGGGCAGAGAAGGGUUUGCUUUCCCAGAUACUUGCCCUUCUGUGUUGUCUGAUGGCACUUUCUCAGGAGCUGGGUGUACUGCUUUGUGUUGUGACUGCUUGAAGCCUGAAUCCUGGAUUUGGCUCUGUGUAAGGGAUACAGUCAGGUGUUCCAGCAGUGGUGCUCCUUGACUCUCAGAAAUAAUAACUUUAUAAUGCUCCUUCCUAUGAGAAGAGGUGGCUGUUGUGCUUCUGCUCUACUGGGAUCAGUCCUAGAUCACGAGAUGGCUUUUAGGAUGUGAUACCUUGCUGUCAGUCUUGCAGGUGUCUCUUCUGAGCUAUUUCACUCAGUUGGGCCCAGUAAUCUGGCCAUGCUGACAUGCAGAAUUAUUUCUGGAGCUGUGUGUUCUCCUUGGAAAUAGUCACAGCUGGAGCCAGACUAGCAUGAAUGUUUUCUCCUUAGGGAAAAAUGAAUCUGUAAGUUCUAAGGAUUCCUUAUAGAAUCCUUACAGAGAGGUGGCAUCAUUCCCCUCAUGUUAUGAGAGGGGAAACUGGAGCAGGUUGCCUCUAAUUCAGCAAAGCACUGAAACACCAUGGGAUGUAAGCACAUGC